GUUAAUCUGUGAAUUAUAGGAAACGCCACUCACGCACACGGAGUCCGCACAAACUCAGCUCCGGGCUCCCGCCCCUAGGAAUCCUGGGAGUUGUAGUUCCGGAGCUUGGCGUUGCCAGCGCAUUUAGCCUGCAGAGGUUGGAGAGCCUGUGAAUACAUCCCUGCAGGGAAGCAGGGUUCAGGGGCCUCUCUUUCACGGACCCCACUGUGUCCUCCUCAGAGUGACCAGCAGUGGACUUCAGGGAGGAGUUGUUCAGUGAACUAGCUGUGCCCCAAGAAGACAACAGGAUGACCAACGUCAAGAAUAAUGUAUUCAAAUUGAAAAGUCACACAAGGCGACUUGACAGUUUCCUCACACCUAUCCUGGGAGGCCCCACUGGGUUUUGUGCAUUCAGCAGAGCUGAGGAUAUAAACUCAGACAGCCUCUGAAGUCUACACGGGAGAGCACCAUCCAGCAGACUUCAAAGGACUCCUGUGACGGAGAAUGCAAGACCUUCUUCUGGGCAUCAGAUCAUGGCUCUGGACGUUCUACUCCAGCUCAAGAGAGAAGACGUGCUUUGGAUGUUGGUGAUGGCCAGCUGCAGCCGCGAGGCUACCGGUGAGAGUGCAGUGACUCAUCUACCCUGCUGCUGAGCGUGUGCACAGCCUUGGGGCCGGUGUCAGCCAGGCCUUCGUAGCGCUUUGAAUCCAUCCACUCUCAGCAUCUGUCUCUAUGUGACGGACUCCCUCGGACUUAGACACAUCCUGCUCUUCUACAUCCGGAGACUCCUUGUGGAUGUGUGCACAGGAGCCAGGAAUCUAGACGGGAUGGAGUCGCUCCGGGAAGUCAGAUGGAGGCCCCUGCUGCAUGAGGAGCUCUUCUGCUCACGGAUCUGGCACCAGGUUUCCAGGGAGUUGGCCCAGGGUGGAGACUGCACGGGAAACACGGGAGAAACUGGCUUUCCGCGGGGGAAACAGGGUGCUGCCCAGUGUGAGGAAGCGGAGUUCAGUGAACAUUCCGGCUGAAUUCAUUUCUCCAAGCUCGCCAGGGACAAUGCCAUGAAGAAGAGGCAAGUGAGAAAGAUUCUGCUUGCAGCCACUGCCCUCGUGCUAUUCCAGGAGACAGUCUUUCCAAGUGUGAAAAGCAUGACAACACCCUCCAUUGGUUCUCAAGUCUUCAGUCCAGUCAGAGAGGGUACGAGAGGAACAGACCGAACCAGUCAGCUGCGUUGUUUAAAAAUCUCAGUCAAAGAGAUUUCAUUAUCGUCAGAGUGUCCCCACUGGAGAGAACUCAGACGGAUACAAGGAAUGUGAGAAUCUGGGGAAAACUCACAGGGUCAGACACCUCUGGUGGUCCACACAGGAGAGGGACCCCAUAAAUGUGAGGAGUGUGGGGCGAGCUUCUGUCAGAGCUUGUGUCUUAAGUCUGUCCACUAGUCCAUGCUGGAAAGAAAUUGUAUCAGCAUAGGGAGAGUGGGAAGGGCUUCA